CAAUAUGUUCAGUGGAGGGGUGCUUAAGAGUGAGAACCAUGGUCAAUUCCUGGAAAUUGAUGUUGUUUUGUGGGAAUGUGUAGGUUAACCAUAGGCGGUGGAUCUCAUGGCUGCAUGACUCAAGCAUGAAGCCUUGUAAGAUGUGCUUUAGUCGGGUACAAUAUGUUCAGUGGAGGGGUGCUUAAGAGUGAGAACCAUGGUCAAUUCCUGGAAAUUGAUGUUGUUUUGUGGGAAUGUGUAGGUUAACCAUAGGCGGUGGAUCUCAUGGCUGCAUGACUCAAGCAUGAAGCCUUGUAAGAUGUGCUUUAGUCGGGUACAAUAUGUUCAGUGGAGGGGUGCUUAAGAGUGAGAACCAUGGUCAAUUCCUGGAAAUUGAUGUUGUUUUGUGGGAAUGUGUAGGUUAACCAUAGGCGGUGGAUCUCAUGGCUGCAUGACUCAAGCAUGAAGCCUUGUAAGAUGUGCUUUAGUCGGGUACAAUAUGUUCAGUGGAGGGGUGCUUAAGAGUGAGAACCAUGGUCAAUUCCUGGAAAUUGAUGUUGUUUUGUGGGAAUGUGUAGGUCAAUUCCUGGAAAUUGAUGUUGUUUUGUGGGAAUGUGUAGGUUAACCAUAGGCGGUGGAUCUCAUGGCUGCAUGACUCAAGCAUGAAGCCUUGUAAGAUGUGCUUUAGUCGGGUACAAUAUGUUCAGUGGAGGGGUGCUUAAGAGUGAGAACCAUGGUCAAUUCCUGGAAAUUGAUGUUGUUUUGUGGGAAUGUGUAGGUUAACCAUAGGCGGUGGAUCUCAUGGCUGCAUGACUCAAGCAUGAAGCCUUGUAAGAUGUGCUUUA